UACAGAGGUCCCAAGCGUUGUUCGGAUUCACUGGGCGUAAAGGGUGCGUAGGUGGUGGGGUAAGUUUGAUGUGAAAUCUCCGAGCUUAACUCGGAAAUGGCAUUGAAUACUACUUUGCUAGAGGGUCGGAGGGGAGACUGGAAUUUUCGGUGUAGCAGUGAAAUGCGUGGAUAUCGAAAGGAACACCAGUGGCGAAAGCGAGUCUCUGGACGACUCCUGACACUGAGGCACGAAAGCUAGGGGAGCAAACAGG
rnacentral:rRNA from 1 species